GCAUCAACGCCACGGCGCACGGAGCGUGUUCGCAACUUGCAACUCGUAAAAUCGGAGACACGCAGCAAGCAACUCACACACACACAGAGCAGAAGCAAAGGCAGAGGCAGAGCCAGACCAAGCCAGGCUAUAAAGUUUCAAUGCGAAUAUCGAUUGCUGUGUGCCUUGCAUAAGUCCAGAGAUAAGUAUACCAAACGCACUUUAAGUAAUAGAAAAGGCAUUGAGAAGAGGAGGAAGGAGAACGGAGUCUGA